GGAAGUAAAAGUCGUAACAAGGUUUCCGUAGGUGAACCUGCGGAAGGAUCAUUGUCGUGACCCUUAAACAAAACAGACCGCGAACGCGUCUCUCGUGCCGCCGGGCCUCGGCUCGGCACACGGCCCCCGAGCCCUGUCAUGGGGCGGAGGGGCCACAAAAGAACCCACGGCGCCUUAGGCGUCAAGGAACACUUAUAUUGCCUUGCACGGCGGAGCGGUCGGCCUGCCUUCCGCUCCCCGCGCAGCGAUGAUAUCUUAAUGCACACGACUCUCGGCAACGGAUAUCUCGGCUCUCGCAUCGAUGAAGAACGUAGCAAAAUGCGAUACCUGGUGUGAAUUGCAGAAUCCCGCGAACCAUCGAGUUUUUGAACGCAAGUUGCGCCCGAGGCCUUCUGGCCGAGGGCACGUCUGCCUGGGCGUCACGCCAAAAGACACUCCCAACCCACCCAGAGGGGAGGAGGGACGUGGUGUUUGGCCUCCCGUGCCUCGUGGCGCGGUGGGCCGAAGUUGGGGCUGCCGGCGAAUCGUGUCGGGCACAGCACGUGGUGGGCGACACCUUAGUUGUUCUCGGUGCAGCGCCCCGGCACGCGGCCGGCGCAUCGGCCCUAAGGACCCAUGAGCACCGCAGCGCAUCGCCGCUCGGACCGCGACCCCAGGUCAGUCGGGACUACCCGCUGAGUUUAAGCAUAUCAAUAAGCGGAGGA
rnacentral:rRNA from 1 species